GCCGGGUUGGCAGAGAGGCUAUGCGUCCGCCUGCAGAGCGGAAUAGAGGGGCUCGAUUCCCCUACCCGGCU
rnacentral:tRNA from 1 species